rnacentral:rRNA from 1 species
UUUCGCAAUGCCCGAAAGGGUGACGAAGCGACGCCGCGUGCGGGAAGAAGGCCUUCGGGUUGUAAACCGCUGUCGGGAGUCAAGAAAUGUAAGGAUGUUAAUAGCAUCUUUGCUUGACUAAGGCUCCGGAGGAAGCCACGGCUAACUCUGUGCCAGCAGCCGCGGUAAUACAGAGGCGGCAAGCGUUGUUCGGAAUUAUUGGGCGUAAAGAGCACGUAGGCGGCUAUGUAAGUCGGUUGUGAAAGCCUUCCGCUCAACGGGAGAACAGCAUCCGAUACUGCAUGGCUUGAGUGCGGGAGGGGAGAGUGGAACUUCUGGUGGAGCGGUGAAAUGCGUAGAUAUCAGAAGGAACGCCGGCGGCGAAAGCGGCUCUCUGGCCCAUAACUGACGCUGAGUGUGCGAAAGCUAGGGGAGCAAACGGGAUUAGAUACCCCGGUAGUCCUAGCCGUAAACGAUGGGCACUAAGUAGAGGGGUUUUAAUCUC